AGAGUUUGAUCCUGGCUCAGAUUGAACGCUGGCGGCAUGCCUUACACAUGCAAGUCGAACGGUAACAGGUCUUCGGAUGCUGACGAGUGGCGAACGGGUGAGUAAUACAUCGGAACGUGCCCGAGAGUGGGGGAUAACGAAGCGAAAGCUUUGCUAAUACCGCAUACGAUCUCAGGAUGAAAGCAGGGGACCGCAAGGCCUUGCGCUCACGGAGCGGCCGAUGGCAGAUUAGGUAGUUGGUGGGAUAAAAGCUUACCAAGCCGACGAUCUGUAGCUGGUCUGAGAGGACGACCAGCCACACUGGGACUGAGACACGGCCCAGACUCCUACGGGAGGCAGCAGUGGGGAAUUUUGGACAAUGGGCGCAAGCCUGAUCCAGCCAUGCCGCGUGCAGGAUGAAGGCCUUCGGGUUGUAAACUGCUUUUGUACGGAACGAAAAGACUCUGGUUAAUACCUGGGGUCCAUGACGGUACCGUAAGAAUAAGCACCGGCUAACUACGUGCCAGCAGCCGCGGUAAUACGUAGGGUGCGAGCGUUAAUCGGAAUUACUGGGCGUAAAGCGUGCGCAGGCGGUUAUAUAAGACAGAUGUGAAAUCCCCGGGCUCAACCCGGGAACUGCAGU
rnacentral:rRNA from 1 species